rnacentral:rRNA from 1 species
GAUGAACGCUGGCGACGUGCCUAAUACAUGCAAGUAGAACGCUGAAGCUUGGUGCUUGCACCGAGCGGAUGAGUUGCGAACGGGUGAGUAACGCGUAGGUAACCUGCCUCUUAGCGGGGGAUAACUAUUGGAAACGAUAGCUAAUACCGCAUAAAAGUCGAUAUCGCAUGAUAUUGAUUUGAAAGGUGCAAUUGCAUCACUAAGAGAUGGACCUGCGUUGUAUUAGCUAGUUGGUGAGGUAACGGCUCACCAAGGCGACGAUACAUAGCCGACCUGAGAGGGUGAUCGGCCACACUGGGACUGAGACACGGCCCAGACUCCUACGGGAGGCAGCAGUAGGGAAUCUUCGGCAAUGGGGGCAACCCUGACCGAGCAACGCCGCGUGAGUGAAGAAGGGUUUCGGAUCGUAAAGCUCUGUUGUAAGAGAAGAACGAGUGUGAGAGUGGAAAGUUCACACUGUGACGGUAACUUACCAGAAAGGGACGGCUAACUACGUG